UACAGGGGGGGCAAACGUUGUUCGGAAUUACUGGGCGUAAAGGGUCUGUAGGUGGCCAACUAAGUCAGACGUGAAAUCCCUCAGCUUAACUGGGGAACUGCGUCUGAUACUGGAUGGCUUGAGUGUGGGAGAGGAAUGCGGAAUUCCAGGUGUAGCGGUGAAAUGCGUAGAUAUCUGGAGGAACACCGGUGGCGAAGGCGGCAUUCUGGACCAUAACUGACACUGAGGCGCGAAAGCCAGGGGAGCGAACGGG
rnacentral:rRNA from 1 species